GACGAACGCUGGCGGCGUGCUUAACACAUGCAAGUCGAACGGUAAGGCCCUUCGGGGUACACGAGUGGCGAACGGGUGAGUAACACGUGGGUGAUCUACCCUGCACUUCGGGAUAAGCCUGGGAAACUGGGUCUAAUACCGGAUAGGACACCUGCCUGCAUGGGUGGUGGUGGAAAGCUUUUGCGGUGUGGGAUGGGCCCGCGGCCUAUCAGCUUGUUGGUGGGGUGAUGGCCUACCAAGGCGACGACGGGUAGCCGGCCUGAGAGGGUGACCGGCCACACUGGGACUGAGAUACGGCCCAGACUCCUACGGGAGGCAGCAGUGGGGAAUAUUGCACAAUGGGCGCAAGCCUGAUGCAGCGACGCCGCGUGAGGGAUGACGGCCUUCGGGUUGUAAACCUCUUUCAGCACCGACGAAGCGCAAGUGACGGUAGGUGCAGAAGAAGGACCGGCCAACUACGUGCCAGCCGCCGCCGUAA
rnacentral:rRNA from 1 species